rnacentral:rRNA from 1 species
CCUACGGGUGGCAGCAGUGAGGAAUAUUGGUCAAUGGGCGCGAGCCUGAACCAGCCAAGUCGCGUGAAGGAUGACUGCUCUAUGGGUUGUAAACUUCUUUUAUAUGGGAAUAAAGUGAGGAACGUGUUCCUUUUUGUAUGUACCCUAUGAAUAAGCAUCGGCUAACUCCGUUCCCGCAGCCGCGGUAAUACGGAGGAUGCGAGCGUUAUCCGGAUUUAUUGGGUUUAAAGGGGGCGUAGGUGGUUAAUUAAGUCAGCGGUGAAAGUUUGUGGCUCAACCAUAAAAUCGCCGUUGAAACUGGUUGUCUUGAGUAUAUUUGAGGUAGGCGGAAUGCGUGGUGUAGCGGUGAAAUGCAUAGAUAUCACGCAGAACUCCGAUUGCGAAGGCAGCUUACUAAACUAUAACUGACACUGAAGCACGAAAGCGUGGGGAUCAAACAGGAUUAGAUACCCGGGUAGUC